GAAAUGCGAUAAGUAAUGUGAAUUGCAGAAUUCAGUGAAUCAUCGAAUCUUUGAACGCACAUUGCGCCCCCUGGUAUUCCGGGGGGCACGCCCGUUCGAGCGUCAUUGCACCAAUCAAGCCUGGCUUGGUAUUGGGGCACGGGGGUGACCCGGCCCUUAACGUCUUCGGCAGAAGCGUCCCGAUCGCAGCGUUGUGACAUACAAUCUCGCUGGUGAGAGGGGCGGUUCGCGCCGCGAAACCCAUCAAAGGUUGACCUCGGAUCGGGUGAGGAUACCCGCUGAACUUAA
rnacentral:misc_RNA from 1 species